rnacentral:rRNA from 1 species
UACGAGGGGGGCGAGCGUUGUUCGGAAUCACUGGGCGUAAAGAGUGCGUAGGCGGUUAUAAAAGUUAGAAGUGAAAGCCCAGGGCUCAACUCUGGAAUUGCUUUUAAUACUGUUUAACUCGAAUUCGGGAGAGGAUAGCGGAAUUCUCAGUGUAGCAGUGAAAUGCGUAGAUAUUGAGAGGAACACCAGUGGCGUAAGCGGCUAUCUGGACCGACAUUGACGCUGAGGCACGAAAGCGUGGGGAUCAAACAGG